AGAGCGAACGCUGGCGGCAGGCCUAACACAUGCAAGUCGAGCGCCCCGCAAGGGGAGCGGCAGACGGGAGAGUAACACGUGGGAACGUACCCUUCAGUUCGGAACAACCCAGGGAAACUUGGGCUAAUACCGGAUACGUCCGUAAGGAGAAAGAUUUAUCGCUGAAGGAUCGGCCCGCGUCUGAUUAGCUUGUUGGUGAGGUAACGGCUCACCAAGGCUACGAUCAGUAGCUGGUCUGAGAGGAUGAUCAGCCUCACUGGGACUGAGACACGGCCCAGACUCCUACGGGAGGCAGCAGUGGGGAAUAUUGGACAAUGGGCGCAAGCCUGAUCCAGCCAUGCCGCGUGGGUGAUGAAGGCCCUAGGGUUGUAAAGCCCUUUCGGCGGGGAAGAUAAUGACGGUACCCGCAGAAGAAGCCCCGGCUAACUCGCGCCAGCAGCCGC
rnacentral:rRNA from 1 species